AGCCUGAACGCUGGCGGCGUGGCUAAGACAUGCAAGUCGCACGGUGGCAGCAAUGCCACAGUGGCGAACGGGUGAGUAAUGAAUCGCUAACGUACCCCGGACUCCGGGAUAGCUCUCCGAAAGGGGAGGUAAUACCGGGUAACAUCACUUCCAGGCAUCUGGGAGUGCUCGAAGGUCCGCC
rnacentral:rRNA from 1 species